AGUGAACGCUGGCGGUAGGCCUAACACAUGCAAGUCGAACGGCAGCACAGUAAGAGCUUGCUCUUACGGGUGGCGAGUGGCGGACGGGUGAGGAAUACAUCGGAAUCUACUUUUUCGUGGGGGAUAACGUAGGGAAACUUACGCUAAUACCGCAUACGACCUACGGGUGAAAGCAGGGGAUCUUCGGACCUUGCGCGAUUGAAUGAGCCGAUGUCGGAUUAGCUAGUUGGCGGGGUAAAGGCCCACCAAGGCGACGAUCCGUAGCUGGUCUGAGAGGAUGAUCAGCCGCACUGGAACGGAGACACGGUCCAGACUCCUACGGGAGGCAGCAGUGUGGAAUAUUGGACAAUGGGCGCAAGCCUGAUCCAGCCAUACCGCGUGGGUGAAGAAGGCCUUCGGGUUGUAAAGCCCUUUUGUUGGGAAAGAAAAGCAGCAGGUUAAUACCCCGCUGUUCUGACGGUACCCAAAGAAUAAGCACCGGCUAACUUCGUG
rnacentral:rRNA from 1 species